rnacentral:rRNA from 1 species
CCCCCACACUGGCACUGAGAUACGGGCCAGACUCCUACGGGAGGCAGCAGUAGGGAAUAUUGGUCAAUGGGCGCAAGCCUGAACCAGCCAUGCCGCGUGCAGGAUGAAGGCCCUCAGGGUUGUAAACUGCUUUUGUAUGGGAAUAAAAAAGUCCUUGCGAGGACUCUUGAAGGUACCAUAAGAAUAAGCACCGGCUAACUCCGUGCCAGCAGCCGCGGUAAUACGGAGGGUGCAAGCGUUAUCCGGAUUUACUGGGUUUAAAGAGUGCGUAGGCGGCUUCUUAAGUCAAUGGUGAAAGCUUAGCGCUUAACGCUAGAAGUGCCACUGAUACUGGGAAGCUUGAGUCAAGAAGAGGUAAGCAGAAUUCAUAGUGUAGCAGUGAAAUGCUUAGAUACUAUGAGGAAUACCAACAGCGAAGGCAGCUUACUGGUCUUGUACUGACGCUGAGGCACGAAAGCGUGGGUAGCGAACAGGAUUAGAUACCCUGGUAGUCCACGCCGUAAACGAUGAUCACUCGAUGUACACGCUAGUCGUGUGUGUCUAAGCAAAAGCAUUAAGUGAUCCACCUGGGGGAGUACGCUCGCAAGAGUGAAACUCAAAGGAAUUGACGGGAGUCCGCACAAGCGGUGG